rnacentral:tRNA from 1 species
UGGAAUAGCUCAGUUGGUAGAGCAACGCCCUCGUAACGCGUAGGUCACAAGUUCGAUUCUUGCUUCCAG